CAAUGAUGAAUCAAAACUCAGUUUUGAUAAUAAGGAACAGGCACGAAUAUUUUGCAUAAGUAGAAAGUAGCCAGUUACUGGUUAACCUAAGAAAAUAUUUGAUAAUAUCUCCCACAGUAGAUAUAUUAGACAAAUAUAUUGAUGUUCAACCACUGUUACAAAAAAAAAAAAAAAAAACACAACUGUUCACUUAACAGGUUUGUAAUUACUUUACAGGUUUAUUCGAGACAGAGAUAGGUUCCCAUCCAGUUCCCUGCGAUGUUGAAGGAAAGAUAUUGUAUAAAAGGUAAUUGUAAAGACAUACAAAGAGGCAUGAAACCAUGAAACACUUAGAUAACCUUCUCUCACUUGUACUCCAAUUUGGAGACUUGAUUUACAUGUAAGUAUUUACCCUUUUUCCCAGACAAUGCUCACAUGCAGUUCCUCUUUAUUCUUUCAGAUAUACUACCUGCAGGAAGACCUUCAUGGAAGAAGUAUCAGUCCAAAAGGAAAAAUCUUUUCUUUCUUCCUCACCAGCUUCUUUGAGUUAUGAAGGGUUCGCUAAGAAAUAUUUGCUUCUGAUUCAGUUAUCUUUCCUUUUCAGCCCUGGAUAUUUUCCUGCAUCUCAUCUUCAACAGAAAACUGCCUGUCUGAAUGCUGCUUGUUGCUAAUUUACAGUUGUCACUCCUGAGUCUGCCCAGGAUUCCAUACUGCCUGGCUUAUGUAUUGAAACAGCAAGCUUUCGUUUGCAACCAAGGUGUCCUGACAUUCCCACCAAUUGUUUGCUAAACACAGUUGUUGAAUGACUGCAAAACCCAAUUCCAAUGGCCAUAUCUUGUUCUCUGCCAACACCUCUCACCUCUGGUUCAGGAAAAUUAUGCCAUCUUGGAGAGGAAACAUGUCUUGCAGGUCAUCUUCUGUGCCUUCCAAAAUACUG
ensembl:lncRNA